GGUCCCACAUUUGCACUUAUUGCCCGUGACUCUCUCUCUCUCUCUCUCCAAUCUCUCCCUUUUUUUUAGCCCUCAGAUGAUUUAAAAUAAGAGGAAAUUAAAAUAGUCAACUUUUGGUUUCACGUUUACAAAAAUGUCACUUUUUAAAAAAAUUUUGUAAAAUUUCUCUUUUCUCUUUUAUUCUUUUCUAUGUUUCCUCUCUUGAUUUUUUGAAAAUUAGAUGGAGUGCAAGUUCUUGCAUUAGGAUCUCGUAUAUUACGUCAAUACAGAAGGAAGAAGAAUAUCGUAGGUAAGGUUUCAAAUCUAUGAGUUUUUUUAGAUUGAUUGAAGGUUUUGUUUGAAGUUUUCUAUUAAUGUUCAUUUUUUUUUUUUUUGUCUUUCUAUUAGAUUGCACAAUCAAUUUUUGAGUUUCCUACAUCUAGACCGUGAGUUAGAUUGUUCUCCAUUUUGGGUUCGGCUUUGUUUAGAGUGUAAAUUUACAGGUAAUUUGAAUUUCUCCAUUUUUUUGGGCAUUUUGAUUUUUUCUAAUUUUUUUUGGGUAUUAUGAAUAAAUUUUUUUUUAUAUUUUUCUAAAAAAAAAUUUCACAUUCUGUCAAUUUUUUACUUUAUAUUUCUCUGAAUUUGUUUGGUUUGUGAAAGAUGAUUGUUGUAUUAUACUUGUCAUUCCAGCCUAUCUUAUUUAUUAUAUUUUUCUAGAUUAGGUAUGGAUAUGGAAUCUUUUAAACGAACUGUUUAAUUUGUCAUAAUGAAAGUUUGUACAGUUAUGAAUGCUCAACACAAGAACUUCUAGAAAGAUCAGUUAUGUAACCCAUGUGUCGCGAUAAACUAUCGUUCCCGACAAUUAGUUACAGUCAUUCUAUACAGAUGAGUUAUCUUUCGAUAUAAACUGUCAUUCUCGAAGUUAAAGGCAGUAUUUCUGAAACAUUACAGGGUGUUUUUUUUAUUUCUUAUACGUGUAUUCAGCAUUAACAUCUGAAAAAUUCAAAAUUUUAAAUACACUCGUCUCAUUUUUAAUAUGCAAACUAGAAAUAUUGAAUUCAUGUCCAUUAGUAUUGUAAUUAUUGUUUUCAAUUAGAUGAAGGAUGGAUCAACUCGUGCUCCGAUAAUCAUGAGGGUCUAUUGUCUAGUGAGAACUAAGAGGCGAACAGUAUGUGUGUUAAUUAAGAGGAAUUUAAAUUUUUAAAUACUCUAAUAUCAUUCCGUAAUUUGCAAACUAGAAAUAAUGAACUCAUGUCGGUUAGUGUUGCAAAUGUCGUUUUCAAAUAAAUGGAGAACCCAUAGAGUUCAAAGUGUCAUGUCCGAACAAUGAGAAAGUUCCCUCAACUUGUAGCUUGAUAGAGGCGGCCACCAUACCUAUCGAAAGUAACGAUAUUGUUAGCACAAAGAGCAAUUAUCAAUACACAUUCGAUUUUAUGCAGCCUCUACUAGGACUCCAUAUACCAAGGAGAGGAGAAAAAGAAUAAAGAAAUAGUGUGACCAACUUUGUUAAUGCUACAUUAGAAUUGAUUUGUGAAAUAAAUGACCUCAUUUUGGUUACCUCCAAGAAUGUGAUUAUAAACAUGAUUUAGUGGUUGCAUUCACAUGUGGUGACACAUUUUAUCAUUUCUUGUUUCUCAUACUCGUUGAAUUGUUCAAUUAGCACGAGAAAAUUUUGUCAAGGAUAAAUAUAGCAAUGUCUUUACCAAAUGUUAUGCAACAGUUUACCCUUGUACAUCUUAUUUGUAGUUACAUUUUCUGCUCGCAACUAAGUGUCGAGAAUGACAGAAACCUCCUAUCGGGACCGAUAGUUUAACUGUCAGGAUGUUAUGCAAUGUUUGCAAAUGAUAAUAAAAUACUAAUAAUAAUGUAAGUUGAGAAUAUGUUCGAGAACAACAUGUCC
rnacentral:lncRNA from 1 species